rnacentral:rRNA from 1 species
CGGGACUGGUGAGUAACGCGUGAGGAACCUGCCUUUCGGAGGGGGACAACAGUUGGAAACGACUGCUAAUACCGCAUGACGUAUCGGGAUCGCAUGGUCUUGAUACCAAAGAUUUUAUCGCCGAAAGAUGGCCUCGCGUCUGAUUAGCUAGUUGGUGGGGCAACGGCCUACCAAGGCGACGAUCAGUAGCCGGACUGAGAGGUUGGCCGGCCACAUUGGGACUGAGAUACGGCCCAGACUCCUACGGAAGGCAGCAG